AUUGAACGCUGGCGGCAUGCCUUACACAUGCAAGUCGAACGGCAGCACGGGAGCAAUCCUGGUGGCGAGUGGCGAACGGGUGAGUAAUAUAUCGGAACGUGCCCAGUCGUGGGGAGUAACGUAGCGAAGACUACGCUAAUACCGCAUACGAUCUAUGGAUGAAAGCGGGGGAGUCGCAAGACCUCGCGCGAUUGGAGCGGCCGAUAUCAGAUUAGGUAGUUGGUGAGGUAAGGACUCACCAAGCCGACGAUCUGUAGCUGGUCUGAGAGGACGACCAGCCACACUGGGACUGAGACACGGCCCAGACUCCUACGGGA
rnacentral:rRNA from 1 species